rnacentral:ribozyme from 1 species
UGCUUAGUAACUCCUAUCCCUACCUCCCCGCGAUGCCACUUGAGGUACGAGUAACCAUAGGUAAGAUCGGGUAACCAACCACGCUGGGACCUAGGUAUGCUAACAGGGAAGG